GACGCCCUAAAUCCAGCCCUAAUUCCCUAUCACCAACCUCAUUCUUCACCUUUAAAAUAAAUCAUUCUCAACCUAAAGUAAAUGCGAUUGAAAAAGAACUCGGAGCUUUAUAAACAGUACCGCAAGGGAAAGAUGAAAUAGAAAUUAAAUAAACUUUCAAGCAAUAAAUAGUAGAGACUUCAACUUGUACCUUUUGCAUCAUGGUUUAACUAGUCCAACCAGGCAAAGAGAUCUUUAGUCUGAUACCCCGAAACUAAGUGAGCUACUCCAAGGUAACCCUAGAGUUAACCCGUCUCUGUGGCAAAAGAGUGGGACAACCUUCGAGUAGGAGUGAUAUACCUAUCGAACUUAGUGAUAGCUGGUUACUCAAGAAACGAAUUUUAGUUCCUCCUUAAGAGGACCCAGCUCAAACUUUCUGUUAAGCAAAUUUUACCUCUUAAGACCCAUUCAAUAAGGGUACAGCCUUAUUGAAAAAGGAUACAACCUAGAACUCAGGUUUACGUUAUUAUAGACCUGCACAAGUUGGCUUAAGAGCAGCCACCUUUAAAAUAGCGUCAAAGCUUUCUCUACCGUCUUCUCUAAUUCCUUAACCCUUACGGAACCCGAUACCAAUAUUGAGUCCUUCUAUACCCCUAUAGAAGUGUUUAUGUUAAAACUAGUAACACAGAAUUACUUCUCUCUAUGUGAGUGUAAAUCAGACCGAAUAAGUCACUGAUAAUUAGUCAGUAAUGAAACUAUUGUAGCAACCCCGCUAGAAAACCCUACAACCUUAUACUGUUAACCUAACACAAGAACAUCAGAGAAAGAUUAAAAGAUAAGGAAGGAACUCGGCAAAUUUAAGUCCCGCCUGUUUACCAAAAACAUCGCCUUUUGUAAUCUAUAUAAGGUAAUGCCUGCCCAGUGACCAUGUGUUCAACGGCCGCGGUAUUCUGACCGCGCGAAGGUAGCGUAAUCACUUGUCUUUUAAAUAAAGACUAGUAUGAACGGCUACACGAGGACUUGACUGUCUCCCUUAUCCAAUCAGUGAAACUAAUCUCCUCGUGCAGAAGCUAGGAUGAACCCAUUAGACGAGAAGACCCUAUGGAGCUUUAAACUUAAUAUUAAUUUUACUUCUACUAACAUUAACAAAUAAACUAUUAACUUAAUAUGAGUUUUAGGUUGGGGCGACCAUGGAGAAAAAAAUAUCCUCCCUGAUGACUUCUAAUCAAGAGCCACAGCUCUAAGUACUAAGAUACUUAACUUCCAUUGACCCAUUUUAUGAUCAACGAACCAAGUUACCCUAGGGAUAACAGCGCAAUCCAUUUCAAGAGUCCCUAUCGACAAAUGGGUUUACGACCUCGAUGUUGGAUCAGGGUAUCCCAG
rnacentral:rRNA from 1 species